rnacentral:rRNA from 1 species
CAGUCGCCGCGGGAACACGUAGGUGGCAAGCGUUGUCCGGAAUUAUUGGGCGUAAAGGGCUCGCAGGCGGUUUCUUAAGUCUGAUGUGAAAGCCCCCGGCUCAACCGGGGAGGGUCAUUGGAAACUGGGAAACUUGAGUGCAGAAGAGGAGAGUGGAAUUCCACGUGUAGCGGUGAAAUGCGUAGAGGUGUGGAGGAACACCAGUGGCGAAGGCGACUCUCUGGUCUGUAACUGACGCUGAGGAGCGAAAGCGUGGGGAGCGAACAGGAUUAGAUACCCGCGUAGUCCCUGUCUCUUAUAC